AUUGAACGCUGGCGGCAUGCCUAACACAUGCAAGUCGAACGGCAGCAUGGUCUAGCUUGCUAGACUGAUGGCGAGUGGCGAACGGGUGAGUAACGCGUAGGAAUAUACCUUAUAGAGGGGGAUAACCUGGGGAAACUCAGGCUAAUACCGCAUGUUAUCUAAGGAUUAAAGCUGGGGACCUUAGGGCCUGGCGCUAUAAGAAUAGCCUGCGUCCGAUUAGCUAGUUGGUGGGGUAAAGGCCUACCAAGGCGACGAUCGGUAGCUGGUCUGAGAGGAUGAUCAGCCACACUGGGACUGAGACACGGCCCAGACUCCUACGGGAGGCAGCAGUGGGGAAUAUUAGACAAUGGGGGGCAACCCUGAUCCAGCAAUGCCGCGUGUGUGAAGAAGG
rnacentral:rRNA from 1 species